UGUUAUGCUGCGUUCGGAACUCCUCGUCCAACUAGUUGGACAAGUUGGACAAGAUGUUUUGACCGUUCGGAACCCCUACUUUCUCGUCCUGGACAAGUUGUCCAUCUCGUCCAACUCGCCCUGGUUCGCAGCGGGGCAACCAAGACGAGAUGACGUCACAAAGGCGUUUGUUUACAAACAGAGAUAAUGGCAGUCGUGGAGAAAAUUGUGUGUUCAAAGAUCACGAUAAUAAUUAUUGGCUGGAUGCAGAUGGUUCAGUGCCAUUCCCAGAAAAUUCGGUGGUGUACCGUACAAGUACCGAUUUUCCUGGGAGGUAUUUUGCAGACCAGGAGUUAACAGUGGAAUGGGCUCUCGAGUGGCUACCACGAACAGUUGAAG